rnacentral:rRNA from 1 species
AAACUACAAAGGAAUUGACGGGACCCGCACAAGCAGCGGAGCGUGUGGUUUAAUUCGUUGCUACACGAAGAACCUUACCUGGGUUUGACAUAUAGGUUGUAGGGAACUGAAAAGGGACGACCCUUCGGGGAGCCUAUACAGGUGUUGCAUGGCUGUCGUCAGCUCGUGUCGUGAGAUGUUCGGUUAAGUCCGCUAACGAGCGCAACCCUCGUCGUAUGUUAUAUGUGUCAUACGAGACUGCCGGUAAAAGCCGGAGGAAGGUGAGGAUGAUGUCAAGUCAGCAUGACCUUUAUAUCCAGGGCUACACACACGCUACAAUGGUCUGUACAAUGGGUAGCCAAGCCGCGAGGCGGAGCCAAUCCUGAAAGCAGGCCUCAGUUCAGAUUGCAGUCUGCAACUCGACUGCAUGAAGCCGGAGUUGCUAGUAACCGCAGGUCAGCAAUACUGCGGUGAAUACGUUCCCGGGUCUU